GAUCAUGGCUCAGGAUGAACGCUAGCUACAGGCUUAGCACAUGCAAGUCGAGGGGAAACGACAUCGAAAGCUUGCUUUUGAUGGGCGUCGACCGGCGCACGGGUGAGUAACGCGUAUCCAACCUGCCCAUCACUUGGGAAUAACCUUGCGAAAGUAGACUAAUGCCCAAUGACAUCCCACGAAGGCAUCCGAAUGGGAUUAAAGAUUUAUCGGUGUAAGAUGGACCCGGCGU
rnacentral:rRNA from 1 species